CAGCCGUAAACUAUGCGCGUUAGGUGUAUCGGUGACCACGAGUCACCGAGGUGCCGAAGGGAAACCGUGAAACGUGCCGCCUGGGAAGUACGGUCGCAAGGCUGAAACUUAAAGGAAUUGGCGGGGGGAGCACCACAACGGGUGGAGCCUGCGGUUUAAUUGGACUCAACGCCGGGAAGCUCACCGGAUAAGACAGCGGAAUGAUUGCCGGGCUGAAGACUCUGCAUGACUAGCUGAGAGGUGGUGGCAUGGCGUCAGUGACU
rnacentral:rRNA from 1 species